GUUGGCAGUAAAGCUAAUUUUCAGUCGGGUUGCUUUUACCAGCGGGAUGAUUAAGCAGAUGCGUUCAAGGAUUGAAAGCACCUAAAAGAGCCUGAGAGAGGCCAGUUAGCCUCCGAGCUAACUGGGAAGCUAACUCCGAGGACAAGAAGCGACCAGGUUCCUGUUAAAAGCAAAUGGUCUUCCCACUGAUGCUAUUGGAUACUGGGUUGUUUCCAGCUUUUUUCCGAGGAACAGGGGCGAGUUUGGCCGGUUUGUUCUUACCGGAGACCUGGCUUCAGCUCCAGCAGCAGACGAAAGCAAUUCCCCAUAGGAAGAAGGUUCAAUUCAUCUGUUUUGUGAUCCAUGGAUGUGGGUUUGGAGAGAACCCUGAUGGCCAGAGAGGCUCUUAAGGUCAAUUUCUGAGUUUGGCUAUUCCAUCACAUUAAGACGUUCCUAAUGAUCAACAUCUAUCGGCCACAAAGAAUCAAAUCCUAUUGAGAUGGAACCAGAACCCCAGCAGUUGGCAGAGAUCAAAGAAACAACAGACCCAUUUAAAGAGGAACGUGUUGAACUGUCCAUCUUUCAGGCUGGAAAACGUCUUUUAGUGAAGCAGGAGACCAGCAGCUUCAUGGUGAUUCCUGUCUAUGAGAACCUACUGGACACUGAACCAGAACUGCAGCAGAUGACUGCAACUAAAGAAACCAUGCAGGCUAAAAAGGAACCAGAAACUGUACGGAUUAAAGAGGAACAGGAAGAACCAGAACCUGAACAGAUUAAACAGGAACAGGAGGAACCAGAACAG